rnacentral:tRNA from 1 species
UCCCUGGCAGUCCAGUGGUUAAGACUUGGCACUUUCACUGUCAGGGCCUGGGUUUGAUCCCUGGUCAGGGAA